AAGUCGUAACAAGGUUUCCGUAGGUGAACCUGCGGAAGGAUCAUUAUCGUACAACUGAGGUGCAAGGGCUGUCGCUGACCUUCAAGGGUCGUGCACGCCCAAGCUCUCUCACACAUCCAUCUUACCCCUUUGUGCAUCACCGCGUGGGCCCCCUUUGCAGGAGGGCUUGCGUUUUCACAUAAAACUUGAUACAGUGUAGAAUGUUUUUUCUUUUGCGGUCACACGCAAUCAAUACAACUUUCAACAACGGAUCUCUUGGCUCUC
rnacentral:misc_RNA from 1 species